AGCAGCCGCGGUAAUUCCAGCUCCAAUAGCGUAUAUUAAAGUUGUUGCAGUUAAAAGCUCGUAGUUGAAUUUCGGGGUUAGUAGGUUGGUCAUGCCUCUGGUAUGUACUGGUCUCACUGAUUCCUCCUUCCUGAUGAACCUUAAUGCCAUUAAUUUGGUGUUUUGGGGAAUUUGGACUGUUACUUUGAAAAAUUAGAGUGUUUAAAGCAAGCUAACGCUUGAAUACAUUAGCAUGGAAUAAUGAAAUAGGACGUUCGAUCCUAUUUUGUUGGUUUCUAGGAUUGACGUAAUGAUUAAUAGGGAUAGUUGGGGGCAUUAGUAUUCAAUUGUCAGAGGUGAAAUUCUUGGAUUUAUUGAAGACUAACUACUGCGAAAGCAUUUGCCAAGGAUGUUUUCAUUAAUCAAGAACGAAAGUUAGGGGAUCGAAGACGAUCAGAUACCGUCGUAGUCUUAACCAUAAACUAUGCCGACUAGGGAUCGGAUGAUGUUAAUUUU
rnacentral:misc_RNA from 1 species